rnacentral:rRNA from 1 species
AGUGAACGCUGGCGGUAGGCCUAACACAUGCAAGUCGAACGGCAGCACAGUAAGAGCUUGCUCUUACGGGUGGCGAGUGGCGGACGGGUGAGGAAUACAUCGGAAUCUACUUUUUCGUGGGGGAUAACGUAGGGAAACUUACGCUAAUACCGCAUACGACCUACGGGUGAAAGCAGGGGAUCUUCGGACCUUGCGCGAUUGAAUGAGCCGAUGUCGGAUUAGCUAGUUGGCGGGGUAAAGGCCCACCAAGGCGACGAUCCGUAGCUGGUCUGAGAGGAUGAUCAGCCACACGGGAACUGAGACACGGUCCAGACUCUUACGGGAGGCAGCAGUGGGGAAUAUUGGACAAUGGGCGCAAGCCUGAUCCAGCCAUACCGCGUGGGUGAAGAAGGCCUUCGGGUUGUAAAGCCCUUUUGUUGGGAAAGAAAAGCAGCAGGUUAAUACCCCGCUGUUCUGACGGUACCCAAAGAAUAAGCACCGGCUAACUUCGUG